UACGUAGGGGGCGAGCGUUGUCCGGAAUUAUUGGGCGUAAAGAGCUCGUAGGCGGUCCACUAAGUCGGAUGUGAAAUCUUAGGGCUCAACCCUGAAACCGCAUCCGAUACUGGCGGACUUGAGGCAGGUAGGGGAAGGUGGAAUUCCUGGUGUAGCGGUGAAAUGCGCAGAUAUCAGGAGGAACACCGAUGGCGAAGGCAGCCUUCUGGGCCUGUUCUGACGCUGAGGAGCGAAAGCGUGGGUAGCAAACAGGAUUAGAAACCCUAGUAGUCC
rnacentral:rRNA from 1 species